UCCCGAAGGUAUCCUGAAUCUUUCGCAUUGUUAAUCAUACAAAUGCAAUAUAGUUAACAUAAAAAUCAAUGAUUAAUAUGCCACUAUAUAAUUCCGUAAAAUUAAUGCAUUGUAUAUUAUAAAUCUAUCAACACUUUAUCAAAUCAAAAGCAUUUAUUCUAUGUUAAAUUGCAAGCAAAAUAAUUUGAAUAAACUGUAAGCUUAUGAUUUUUUGAUAAAUUAAUGUUAUAUAUAAUAGAUUACAAUGUCCUUAUAUGGAAAAAAUG
rnacentral:rRNA from 1 species